rnacentral:rRNA from 1 species
AGAACGAACGCUGGCGGCAGGCUUAACACAUGCAAGUCGAACGGUUGUAGCAAUACAGCAGUGGCAGACGGGUGAGUAACACGUGGGAACCUUCCUAGGGGUACGGAACAACUCAGGGAAACUUGAGCUAAUACCGUAUACGUCCGUGAGGAGAAAGAUUUAUCGCCCCUAGACGGGCCCGCGUAGGAUUAGGUAGUUGGUGAGGUAACGGCUCACCAAGCCUACGAUCCUUAGCUGAUCUGAGAGGAUGAUCAGCCACACUGGGACUGAGACACGGCCCAGACUCCUACGGGAGGCAGCAGUGGGGAAUCUUGGACAAUGGGCGCAAGCCUGAUCCAGCCAUGCCGCGUGAGUGAAGAAGGCCUUCGGGUUGUAAGCUCUUUUACCAGGGACGAUAAUGACGGUACCUGGAGAAGUAACGCCCCGGACAAACUUCGUGCCAGCAGCCGC